rnacentral:rRNA from 1 species
AAAACAGUUAUAGUUUAUUUGAUAAUGGAAAGCUAUAUGGAUAACCGUGGUAACCCUAGAGCUAAUACAUGCUGUCAAACCUGACUUCUGGAAGGGUUGUAUUUAUUAGAUAUUUAGCCAAUAUUCCUUCGGGUCUAUUGCGACGAAUCAGAAUAACUGAUCGAAUCUCAAAUUUGAGAUAAAUCAUUCAAGUUUCUGCCCUAUCAGCUUUCGAUGGUAGUGUAUUGGACUACCAUGGCAGUCACGGGUAACGGAGAAUUAGGGUUCGGUUCCGGAGAGGGAGCCUGAAAAACGGCUACCACAUCUAAGGAAGGCAGCAGGCGCGUAAAUUACCCAAUCCUGAUUCAGGGAGGUAGUGACAAGAAAUAACAAGCCGGGGAUCUUUGAUCUUACGGGAUUGCAAUGAGAACAAUUUAAACCACUUAGCGAGGAACAACUGGAGGGAAAGUCUGGUGCCAGCAGCCGCGGUAAUUCCAGCUCCAGUAGCGUAUAUUAAAGUUGUUGCAGUUAAAAAGCUCGUAGUUGAAUGUCUGGCUGUUUCUACCUUUGGGUUUCCCGGGGUAGGGGCGGUCAUCCGUCUGCGAACUGCAUUCGGCCUUCACUGGUUCGGUGCUGGGAGCAGGCAUUUUACUGUGAAAAAAUUAGAGUGUUUCAGGCAGGCCAUUGCCCGAAUACAUUAGCAUGGAAUAAUGGAAUAGGAUUUGGUGCCAUUCGUUGGUUGGUGGUGCUAAAUAAUGAUUAAUAGGGACAGAUGGGGGCAUUAGUAUUUAAUAGUCAGAGGUGAAAUUCUAGGAUUUAUUAAAGACUAACUUAUGCGAAAGCAUUUGCCAAGGAUGUUUUCAUUAAUCAAGAACGAAAGUUAGGGGAUCAAAUAGGAUCAGAUACCCUAGUAGUCUUAACUAUAAACUAUACCGACUCGGGAUCGGACGGAUCUUAAAAGUCUGUUCGGCACCGUAUGAGAAAUCAAAGUC